rnacentral:rRNA from 1 species
GAUGAACGCUGGCGGCGUGCCUAAUACAUGCAAGUCGAGCGAACGGACGAGAAGCUUGCUUCUCUGAUGUUAGCGGCGGACGGGUGAGUAACACGUGGAUAACCUACCUAUAAGACUGGGAUAACUUCGGGAAACCGUAGCUAAUACCGGAUAAUAUUUUGAACCGCAUGGUUCAAAAGUGAAAGACGGUCUUGCUGUCACUUAUAGAUGGAUCCGCGCUGCAUUGGCUAGUUGGUAAGGUAACGGCUUACCAAGGCAACGAUGCAUAGCCGACCUGAGAGGGUGAUCGGCCACACUGGAACUGAGACACGGUCCAGACUCCUACGGGAGGCAGCAGUAGGGAAUCUUCCGCAAUGGGCGAAAGCCUGACGGAGCAACGCCGCGUGAGUGAUGAAGGUCUUCGGAUCGUAAAACUCUGUUAUUAGGGAAGAACAUAUGUGUAAGUAACUGUGCACAUCUUGACGGUACCUAAUCAGAAAGCCACGGCUAACUACGUG